CCUGGCCCCGCCGCCGUCAUCCCGCAUCGAGUGUGCUGAGCUGAGGCGUCCGCGCGGCUGUUUCACACGCAGGGCUCUGGUCAGACGGGCCCUGGGCAAGGCCUCUGCCCUCAGCCUCCUGUCAACAGCUUCAAGUAGACUCAGCACCAAGGAGCAGAAAGGUGGAUUUCUGCAUCCUUUGGCUCAGCUGAGGGCACCAUGGUUGAGGAAGCCUUAGACUCCAG
rnacentral:lncRNA from 1 species